CUCCUCCUUCCCGCCUCCCUCUGGGUCAUCUGCUCCCCCCACCCCCACCCCAACUCGGCCAGGCCACCGCGCCAGCCUUCCGCCGGCUUCUUAAGGCCUCGGAACAAACAUCCUUUUUAAAGGCUGCUAAUCACUUUCCUGCAAAGAUGACAAGGAUCACCAUAACUUUGAGUAAGAUUUUACCAGCCGACGGCUGCACGGAAGUCUGUGUUGUGGACUGGAAUGUUCGUGUGCCACCCCCCACCCACCUCCACACCGUUGAAAACCCUAACCUCUCAGGGAUUAGGAGGUGGGGCCUUUGAGGUGAUUAGGUCACGAGGGUGGAGCCCUCCUGAAUGGAAUUAGUGCCCUUAUAAAAGAGACCCCAUUGAGCUCUCUCGCUGUGCUGUGUGCCACGUGAGGGAGGACCCAAGGAGAAAAGGGAGGACUACAACCCAGAAGAGUUCCUCCAGCAGACUUCGGCCAUGCCGGCACCUGCACUCCGAUUUCCAGCGUGCAGAACCGUCAGCACUAAAUUUCGGUUGUUUGUAGCCACCCAGUCCAUGGUAUUCUGCUAUAGCAGCCUAAAACAAGACGCCUUCUGCAAAUGUGUUUGAAGGAAAAAUGUCAAACGUCUUACGGUGAAACCUAAGAAGCAUUUAUCCCUGAAACUCCUCAAGCGUUCACAUUGGAUUUUUCUGUCAAGACUACAUUGUUGACCAGCUAAUAACAUCCAGCCUUGUCUCUCCCAGCAAAGGACUAAACUCAUUUUAACAGAUUAAUAAACCAAAGAUCCUAGAGAUUAAGGUACUUAACCUAGAGUCACAUGACUUUUAAGGAAUGAUAGAGCCAGGAUUUGAAUGUAGCUGAUUCAAGAUAUUUUCAGAUCAAAAAAUCUGGAGCUUACCACCAACAGAAAACACUCCCUGAUGCAAGAAGCAAAGAAAUGGGUAAGUAAGUGGUUAAAAUUAAAAAUGCAAUAAAGGAAUAAUACUAACAAUGUGUGUGGUUAAUGAAGUAAGGCAAGAUGGAACUAAUAUCCUGGACAACAAAGUCAUACUUUGAAGUGGGAAGGGUGGGAUGAUGAUUAGACUUAAAGUUUUCCAAAGUCCUUGUAUUGUUUGGGAAAACAAUAAAAAUAUUGAUUAAGCUUUAUUCUUUUAAGUAUUCAAGUUAAAAUAUCUCAGGUGACUAAGAGUUUUAAUUUCUAAAUUAAUAGAGGGAGAAAAUAGAAUAAAAAUCCAACAAAAGCAUCAUAUGAUGAUAGAAAAAAGAAAUAAAUAGUGAAACAAAUAGAAAUCACAAAUAAUAUGGUAAAAAAUAAAUGCAAAUAUUUCAGUAACUAUAGUAAAUGUAAGCCGAAUAAGGUCUCCAAUUUAAAAAAAGAAUGCAGGGGCGCCCGGGUGGCUUAGUCGGUUAGACUUCGGCUCAGGUCAUGUUCUCACAGUUUGUGGUUCAAGCCCCGUGUUGGGCUCUGUGCUGCCAGCUCAGAGCCUGGAGCUUGCUUCCGAUUCUGUGUCUCCCUCUCUCUGCCCCCCUCUCUCUGCCCCUCCCCCGCUCACGCUCUGUCUCACUUGCUCUCUCAAAAAUUAACAUUAAAAAAAAUUUUUUUUUAAUAAUAAAAAAUAAAAAAAGAAUGCAAACAGACAAGAAAACAAAAUCCAACCGUAUGCUAUUUUUGAAACAUUCUCAAAACGAAGAACAUAGAAAAAUGUAGGAGGAUGGAAAAAGAUGUCAGGCUAACAUAUCAGUAGAAAGCUUACCAGUAACAUCAGACAAACUAAGAAUAAAUGAAGGUUGUUAAAUAAUGGUAAGUUCAGGACCCUAGGACUUCAGAAUUCUAAACAUGUAUGUUCAUAAUUACAGGUCCUUAAAAUACUGAAAGCAAACUUUGACAGAACUAUGAGAAAAAUGUAUAAAUUUCCCACUGUAGUGGAGAUUUUAAUACACCUCAAAAUAAUGAAUGGAUAGAUCUUACAAGAAUCAGAAGAUAUGAGCAACAUAAUUAAGAGAUUAAGGGGCACCUGGGUGGCUGUGUCAAACGUCUGACUCUGGAUUUCAGCUCAGGUCAUGAUCUCAUGGUUUGUGAGUUUGAGCCCCACGUGUGGCUCUGCACUGACAGUGCGGAGCUUGCUUAGGAUUCUCUCUCUACCUCCCUCUCUGCCCCUCCCCUGCUCAUGCUCUCUCUCUCAAAAUAAAUAAAGUUUAAAAAAAAAAUGAGACUGAAUUACUAGACAUAUUAAAUGUUGCACUUAAUAGUGCAUUCAUAUCCUUUUAAUGCACACAUGUGAGAUAUUUAUGAAGAUUGAGCACAUGUAUGUCCAUGUAGUAAUUCUCAACAAAUUUUAGAUAAUUGAUGUUGCAUAAGCCACAUUCUCUAACAAACAUGCAAUUAAGUCAGAAAUACUAAGGGGAGAAAAAUACAUUUGAAUAUUGAAACACAUGCUUGUAAAUAACUUGUUGGUCAGAAAAAAAAAAAAACUAUGAUGGGAAUUAUAAAAUAAUUGGAUCUAAAGAACAAUGAAAUGUAAAUC